UAUGGAUAAUAAUACUGAUUUUAGUCUAAAAGGACUGUACAUCAUAAAUGUGCAUAUUAUCAAAUCAAAGCUAGGAUAGGUACAAUGUUUUGUUUUUCAGUUUUACCUACAGAAAAUGUGUGGAAGAAUAUAUAUAUAUACAUAUAUGUGUGUGUGUGUGUAUAUAUGUGUAUAUAUAUAUAUAUAUGUUGUAUGAUGCAUUUACUAAACAGCCCAAAUGAGAAAUCAGUUGAGCGGUUUGAGAAAUGAUAUCUGUUUCCCUGUGCAUUCAUUUUCUCUGCAGGUUUCAGGAAGCCCCCAGAGAUUGGUUGCCAUGCGAUGGCAACCUCCAAUAAAGAUGAGCGUGUGGGUGUGAACACUGACAAGUCAAAUGGCAAGAUCAUUAGAGGGGAACAAAUUCUUCUGUGUUGUGGAAGU